AGUGGAGUAGCUGGGCCAAAUGAUGGUUGCAUUACAAGUUUUCCAAGGAAUCUCCAUACUGCUUUCCAAAGUGUUUGUACCAAUUUGCAGUCCCACCACCAAU
rnacentral:pre_miRNA from 1 species